GAUGAACGCUGGCGGCGUGCCUAAUACAUGCAAGUCGAGCGAACGGACGAGAAGCUUGCUUCUCUGAUGUUAGCGGCGGGCGGGUGAGUAACACGUGGAUAACCUACCUAUAAGACUGGUAUCACUUCGGGAAACCGGAGCUAAUACCGGAGGAUAUUUUGAACCGCAGGGUUCAAAGGUGAAAGACGGUGUUGCUGUCACUUCUAGAUGGAUCCGAGCUGUAUUAGCUAGUUGGUAAGGUCACGGCUUACCAAGGCAACGAUGCAUAGCCGACCGGAGAGAGUGAUAGGCCACCCGGGAGCUGAGCCACGGUCAUGAGUCCUACGGGAGGCAGCAGUAGCGAACCGUCCGCAAUGGGGGAAAGCAUGACAGAGCAACGCCGCGUGAGUGAUGAAGGCCCUCGGAUCGUAAAACUCUGUUAUUAGGGAAGAACCUAUGUGGAAUUAACUGUGCCCAUCUUGACGGUACCUAAUCAGAAAGCAACGGCUAACUACGUG
rnacentral:rRNA from 1 species